GCUGACCCCUGCGAAUUUCCCAAAUGUGAAAUCUCGAUUGCAUAAUUCUGGUAGUGGGGACUGCGUUCGCGCUCUCCCCU
rnacentral:snRNA from 8 species